rnacentral:rRNA from 1 species
UACGUAGGGACCGAGCGUUGUCCGGAAUCAUUGGGCGUAAAGAGCGUGUAGGCAGCCAAUUAAGUCCUGCGUGAAAUCUCGGGGCUCAACCCCGAGCGGUCGUGGGAAACUGGUUGGCUAGAGUGCGGAAGAGGAGAGUGGAAUUCCUGGUGUAGCGGUGAAAUGCGCAGAUAUCAGGAAGAACACCCGUGGCUAAGGCGGCUCUCUAGCACGGUACUGACGCUGAGACGCGAAAGCGUGGGGAGCGAACAGG